UUUCCAGACUCCUACGGGAGGCAGCAGUGAGGAAUAUUGGUCAAUGGGCGCAGGCCUGAACCAGCCAAGUCGCGUGAGGGAAGACUGCCCUAUGGGUUGUAAACCUCUUUUAUAAGGGAAGAAUAAUGACUACGUGUAGUCAGAUGCCCGUACCUUAUGAAUAAGCAUCGGCUAACUCCGUGCCAGCAGCCGCGGUAAUACGGAGGAUGCGAGCGUUAUCCGGAUUUAUUGGGUUUAAAGGGUGCGUAGGGGGUCCGGAAAGACAGGGGUAAAGGCCCGGGGCCCACCCCCGGCGAGCCGUUGAAACUGUCGGACUAGAGACGGCGAGAAGUACGCGGAAUGCGCGGUGUAGCGGUGAAAUGCAUAGAUAUCGCGCAGAACUCCGAUUGCGAAGGCAGCGUACCGGCGCCGGACUGACGCUGAGGCACGAAAGCGUGGGUAUCGAACAGGAUUAGAUACCCUGGUAGA
rnacentral:rRNA from 1 species